rnacentral:rRNA from 1 species
GAUCCUUCCGUAGGGUGAACCUGCGGAAGGAUCAUU